CUAAAUACCUACCUAUGAUACAGAAAAUCACGUGUCUUUCAUACAUUUCCUAAUUUUUUUCCGUCUUGAUAUUCAAUAACAAAUUACACUUUUAGUUGUGCAUUCGUGAAAGUAGGUAGGUAAUUAAUUUGUUUCUCAAUCGUGUAGUCAAGUUUGAGCUAUUGAAAUUGUCUAAAGUGAUCAGCAUUUGAUACACUACAGUUCACAGCAUCAUAAAUAUAAUAUAAGAUAAUUAUCGAAGAAAUACAACUCGCUAUUAAAGAGCUGAAAACUCAAGCAUUCGAUAUGAAUUCUGGGAUUAUAUUUUCUGCGAUGGUACUGUUCUUCCUGUAUGCAUUCAAUUGCAAUAUCGAUCGCAUUCAUGGUGCUAGUUCAGAGAAACUUCAAGAAGAUGUGCUCAAGCUGAGAGAAGAACUUAUCAAAAUCAAAGAGGAUAUUUUAAAUACACGAGAACGUGCACUGAACCAAACAGAGGAUCUUUUAAAUAAACGAGACCGCGAACUGAAUCAACGAGAAGAAGCUGCCAAAGAACUCGUCAAAGCCAAAGAGGAUCUUUUAAAUAAACGAGAACACGAAUUGAGUCAAAGAGAAGAAGCUUUCAAAGAACUUAUCAAAGCCAAAGAGGAUCUUUUAAAUAAACGAGAACAAGAACUUAAUCAAAGAGAAGAAGCUCUCAAGCAAAAUGAAAUGUCGAAAGAAGAUUUAGAAAUAUACAAAGGACUGAAAAAUAAAACAUGGAACAGACAUAGCAUGUUUUCUUGGUCUGCUCAAUCACUUACGGGUACAACUACGAAUACGAAUCUCAAGGAAAUAGUGAACUACGAGUGUCCUUCGGAGAGACUUUGCUUUUUCACGAGAUGGUGAAAAUCUGAGAAAUUCGAAUGAAGGCCAUUUUUACGAUAUGAGAGAAAGGGAUCAGAAUUUGGCUCACACUGAGCUCAAUAGUUCUAUCCUACUUGUACAUUGUGAUGUUUAACAAAAAAUACAAAAUUAAAAUACGAAUUUUUGCAAGUUGUUGCCACUGCUACGUUCGAGCUAAUUUGUUUCCAUGUUUUACAAAAUAAAAAAAAAAUUCAUAUUUGAGGUUUCUUAAAACUUGAACGUGGGAAAAUGAAAAUUUUUUCAUAUGUCAUGAUAUAGGCUAUAAGAAGACCUUGGGUAGGUACCUAUAAUGCUAACUGGCAGAGUUGUUUUCUCACCUGUCGCUUUAAGUACCUAUUUGGCAAAAUUUCGACUAUUUUUUUCUUACGUCAGUCGGCAAAUUUUCGAUUGUACCUCCCCCCUCCCCUUAAAAAAACUUUUAGUUAUUUCUUGAAAUGGGUAUUAGGCUAUUUUUAGGAAAAUCUCGACGUACAAAUGGAUAAUUUUUGAAAAAAUUGGAUUUUGGAUUUCAGUAUCGAUUUAUUCUUAUUUUUAACUGGAGGGGAGGGGGCUCUUGGCACGACCUUUUUUCAGAUAGGAUAAAAAUCAAGACAAAAACUAGGGAUUCAUUUUCUCACACGAGGUUAGAACUUCAGGAAGUAUGUGUGGGAGAGAGGAGAAAUAAGUAUUCCAAAAUAGGGGUAAAAACGCAGUUAAUAUUGAGCGCUACCUGGAGGGAAAAAGUUCAAGGUGGACUUUUAAACGAUGCGAAGUUUAUCUUACUAGAUCUGAACUCUGGAGUCAUUUCAUCACGUGCACGCGAAUUCAUCAGUGAUCGGUCAUUUUCACAUGUGAAUGAAAAAGUAAAGCAUCUUAGUAUUAUCGAAGAAUUUCAUCGAAAAAAAAUCAUUUUUUUUAAAUUUCAAAAUUUUAUAUUUUUAAUUUUUCGGCGGUCGUUUUUUUUAAUUGAAAAAAAAAUAGAACAAUUUUGGCGCUGAAAUUUUCACAUGCUGGUAUAAUAUUGAAAUAUAAGAUAAUUAUCGAAGAAAUACAACUCGCUAUUAAAGAGCUAAAAACGCAAGCAUUCAAUAUGAAUUCUGGGAUUAUAUUUUCUGUGAUGGUACUGUUCUUCCUGUAUGCAUUCAAUUGCAAUAUUGAUCGCAUUUAUGGUGCUAGUCUAGACAAGCCUCAAGAAGAUAAUAUACGAGUACUCAAGCUGAGUGAAGAACUUAUCAAAAUCAAAGAGGAACUUUUAAAUAUACGAGAACGUGCACUGAACCGAACAGAGGAUCUUUUAAAUAAACGAGACUGCGAACUGAAUCAACGAGAAGAAGCUGCCAAAGAACUCAACAAAACCAAUGAGGAUCUUUUAAAUAAACGAGAGCACGAACUGAGACAAAGAGAAGAAGCUUUCAAAGAACUUGUCAAAGUCAAAGAGGAUCUUUUAAAUAAACGUGAACUCGAAUUGAAUCAAAGAGAAGAAGCUCUCAAACAAAAUGAAAUGUCGAAAGAAGAUAUAGAAAUAUACAAAGGAUUGAAAAAUAAAACAUGGAACAGACAUAGCAUGUUUACUUGGUCUGCUGAAUCACUUACGGGUACAACUACGAAUACAAAUCUCAAGGAAAUAGUGAACUACGAGUGUCCUCCGGAUAGACUUUGUUUUUUCACGAGAUGGUGAAAAUCUGAGAAAUUCGAAUGAAGGCCAUUUACGAUACUAGAGAAAUUGAUCAAAAUUUGGCUCGCACUGAGCUGUUCUAUGUACAUACCAAUCGAUACUCGACCAAUAGUUCUAUCCUAGGUAUACUUGUAUAUUGUAAUGUUUAACAAAUACAAAAUUAGAAUACGAA